GACACUUGGCUCCUGCAAUUCAUCAAUGGUCCAGCAUCUGUUUGUUGGGGAGUCCCAGAUGAUACAACACAGCUUCUCUCUGUAGCUGUUGAAGUUCUAAAGGACACUUGGCUCCUCCAAUCCAUCAAUGUAGUCUAGGUCCAGCAUCAGUUUAUUGGAGGGUCCCAGCUGAUACAAGUGAGAGAAAGAG